GAUGCACGCUGGCGGCGCGCCUAACACAUGCAAGUCGAACGAAGUGGCGAACGGCUGAGUAACACGUGGGCAACCUGCCUUUUACUUUGGGAUAGCCUCGGGAAACCGGGAUAAUACCGAAUAGUAAAAGAUGGCACGCGGCCUGUUAGUUUGUUGGUGAGGUAACGGCUCACCAAGGCAAUGAUGGGUAGCCGGGUUGAGAGACCGACCGGCCAGAUUGGGACUGAGACACGGCCCAGACUCCUACGGGAGGCAGCAGUGGGGAAUCUUGCGCAAUGGGGGAAACCCUGACGCAGCGACGCCGCGUGCGGGAUGAAGGCCUUCGGGUUGUAAACCGCUUUCAGCAGGGACGCGGUACCUGCAGAAGAAGCUCCGGCUAAAUACGUGCCAGCCGCCGCGGUAAUUC
rnacentral:rRNA from 1 species